rnacentral:lncRNA from 1 species
CAGCUAUCAGUCUGGAGCCCAUGAGCUCUCCCUUGUUCAGGUCAGCAAGAUAAGAAAUACCAUAACAGAGGGAACAAUUAUUGGUUCAAGGAGAAAUCUGGCACUAGGGAAAUGUCCAGAGAUCAACAAGGUUGAUGCCAAGUAACAAUCUAAGCAAUAGUCAGAGGCUACCUUAAAUGCCUUUCUCUGAUAAUGAGACUGAUUACUACCUUAAUUGCAAUCCUAGAGCCUUCAUCCAGUAGCUGAUGGAAACAGAAGCAGACACCCACAGCUAAACACUGAACUGAACUGGAAUCCAGUUACAGAGAGGGAGGAGUGAUGAGCAAAGGUGUCAAGACCAGGCUGGUGAAAUCCACAGAAAUUUGGUAUCAUUCUAGUCCAAAUAUAAGGUUUGCUGAGGAAAAGUGAACAAGUGGAAAUGAAGUCUAUUGUCAAUGUGACCAGAGUUGUCCUCAGAGAGUAGGACAGAUAAAAUUAAAAUCAAACCUCUCUUACAAAGAAGAGGAGCCCAGAAGGCUGGAAAUUCCAGAUGAAAAAAAAGAAGGCACCAGAUACUUGGAAUGGGACAGAGCUGCCUGGGAGAGAAGUAAAAGGGUGAGGAGGCCCAAGAGACCAGACUGCAGGGAACCUUGGGAGAAAACCAUCAGGAAUGCCUCAUUUACUUUCAAGAGAAAUAUGUGUUAUCUGACUUGUUCAUGGCAGAUGACCAGAUGUUGUCCAGACAAUGAGGAAGUGUUCAGUUCCAGAGAUGACUUCAAACCUAUUGAAUUCAGAUGGGUGUGA